AACGCUGGCGGCAGGCCUAACACAUGCAAGUCGAGCGAAGUCUUCGGACUUAGCGGCGGACGGGUGAGUAACGCGUGGGAACAUACCCUUUUGGUACGGAAUAGCCUCGGGGAAACUGGGAGUAAUACCGUAUGUGCCCUUCGGGGGAAAGAUUUAUCGCCAAAGGAUUGGCCCGCGUUGGAUUAGGUAGUCGGUGGGGUAAUGGCCUACCAAGCCGACGAUCCAUAGCUGGUUUGAGAGGAUGAUCAGCCACACUGCGACUGAGACACGGCCCAGACUCC
rnacentral:rRNA from 1 species